UACGUAGGGUGCAAGCGUUGUCCGGAAUUAUUGGGCGUAAAGAGCUCGUAGGCGGUCUGUCGCGUCGGAUGUGAAAACUCGGGGCUCAACCCCGGGCCUGCAUUCGAUACGGGCAGACUAGAGUUCGGCAGGGGAGAACGGAAUUCCCGGUGUAGCGGUGAAAUGCGCAGAUAUCGGGAGGAACACCGGUGGCGAAGGCGGUUCUCUGGGCCUGUACUGACGCUGAGGAGCGAAAGCGUGGGGAGCGAACAGG
rnacentral:rRNA from 1 species